CACGGGGGGAGCAAGCGUUGUUCGGAAUCACUGGGCGUAAAGGGCGUGUAGGCGGUCAAGUAGGUGAGAUGUGAAAUGCUCCGGCUUACCCGGAGACCGGCAUCUCAAACCGCUUGGCUUGAGUACGGGAGAGGGUGUGGGGAAUUCCUGGUGUAGCGGUGAAAUGCGUAGAUAUCAGGAGGAACACCGGUGGCGAAGGCGCACACCUGGCCCGAUACUGACGCUGAGGCGCGAAAGCUAGGGGAGCAAACAGG
rnacentral:rRNA from 1 species